AUGGAGUUGGGGCUGAGCUGCAUUUUCCUUGUUGCUCUUUUAAAAGGUGUCCAUUGUGAUGUGCAGCUGGUGGAGUAUGGGGGUGGCUUGGUGAAGCCUGUAGGGUCCCUGAAACUCUCCUGUGCAGCCUCUGGAUUCACCUUCAGUGACUGUUGGAUGAACUGGGUCUGCCAGGCUCCCGGCAAGGGGCUGCAGUGGGUUGGAAAUUUUAAAUAUGAUGGCAGUUACACAAACUAUGCACCAUCCGUGAAGGGCCGGUUCACCAUCUCCAGAGACAAUGCCAAGAACACUCUGUACCUGCAAAUGAACAGUGUGAAGUCUGAGGACACCGCCACUUAUUACUGUUCUAUAUACACACACAGUGAGUGAUCUCAGUGUGAACCCAGACAAAAACCUCACUGUGAGGUCGCUCACGGCCACCAGAGGGCGCACAGCACACA